AAGUCGUAACAAGGUUUCCGUAGGUGAACCUGCGGAAGGAUCAUUAUGAAUGUAGGCGCUGUCCCGUCAGGGGCAGUGACUCUCUAUCUGUGCAACACUUUUGUUUGGUCGUGUGUGGAUGUGAGUGUGCGCAAGCACCACGAACAUCUUCCCGACCAAUAUUUACACCAACUAAAGUCUGACUACAAACAAAUGAAAAAAACUUUCAACAAUGGAUCUCUUGGCUCUGGCAUCGAUGAAGAACGCAGCGAAAUGCGAUAAGUAAUGUGAAUUGCAGAAUUCAGUGAAUCAUCGAAUCUUUGAACGCACAUUGCGCCUCUUGGUAUUCCGGGAGGCAUGCCUGUCUGAGUGUUUUAUCUCUCUACUGUUUAUUCUUUUACGAUUUACGGUGUGUUGGAUGUAGUGGAUUUGAUCGAGAGAUUGAGUCAAUCACACAUCCCAAGUACAACGGUGCAAGUAAACUGCAACAAUGUUUAGAUAAUGAUCAUUGAAGCAAUUAGACAAACACCCUAAGCCAUUCUCUCGACCUGUUGAUCUCGAUCUGACGAUCUCGAUCAACGGCCGAGAUAAUAACAAAACAUAACCUCAGAUCAGGUAGGACUACGCGCUGAACUUAAGCAUAUCAAUAAGCGCAGGAAAAGAAACUAACUAGGAUGCCUUCAGUAGCGGCGAGCGAAGCAGGCAGAGCUCAAAUUUGUAAUCUAGCGUCAGUUCUGUCGUCCGAGUUGUAAUUUCAAAGGUCGGGUUGGUUGUUGCAGGUGACAAGUCUGUUGGAACGCAGCUCUGUGAAGGGUGAUAGUCCCGUCCAAUCUCCGUACGCAACAGCAUAUCUCCCUUCCUGAAGAGUCGAGUUGUUUGGGAAUGCAGCUCUAAAUUGGAGGUAAAUUUCUUCUAAAGCUAAAUAUUGGCCAGAGACCGAUAGCGAACAAGUAGUGUGAACGAAAGAUGAAAAGGACUUUGAAAAGAGAGUUAAAAGUAUGUGAAAUUGUUGAAAGGGAAGCGGUUGUCUGUGAAGGUUUUGUGCGCUUGCGUAUGAAUCCCUCAGCAUCAGUUUGGGUUGUGGUAGAAUGACAUUGGAACGUGGCUUCAUUCGUGAAGUGUUAUAGCCUGUGUUGAUGUCGCACCCCGGACUGAGGACUUUUGAAGAUGCUGAGUAGUGGCCAACCGACC
rnacentral:rRNA from 1 species